AACACUGUUAACCUGCGGUACCUGCGGAGGGAUCAUUGAUGAACAAACCUCUGCAAUUGGGAACUUCGUGGUCCCUUUUGCACAUAACCUGUGCACUUGCCGGUGUUUGGUUACCUCAGGGUAGCAUCCUUCUUUCGGGGAACGACACGUUGAUUUACUGUGGGUGUGUGUGCAGCGUUAGUUGAUAACGCUGCACUUACAACUGCUUUAGAUCUAGUUCCCCAGAAGGAUCUACCCAGA
rnacentral:misc_RNA from 1 species